GGCAAGACCUGCUAAAUAACACCUUUGUCUGAGACAGGGUUAUGCAUCAUCUCCUCUUCUAUGCCCUCAUGGCAAGUCUAGGUGGCUUAAGAUUAAGAAGUGAGGACAUGGAGGCGGACUGUCCCUCUGAGCAGCUCUGAAGUAGGGCCAAGCACACUGCCUUCCAAGCUGACAGCCACUUGUUUGUUUCAUCUUUCCUGAGAACUAAGAGAGGUUCACCCAGCUCAGUUCUUCUCAAAGACACCCCGUCUGUGCAUUGUGCUUGUUUGCUCAUCCAUGAAAAGAGGAAGAGAGAACAGCCGUGGAUGUGAUGUCAGUAUCAAAACUUCCUUGAGGACAGGCGGGAUAAAUUGGGCAAACGGCUGAGUUCUCCCGCAGCCUUUGGGAGAUUGGCCCUGAGAACCCAGAAUAGAUGCCCAUUAUACAUCAUGCGUGUGCUAUGGAAAGGUCUGUGCCAGGCAAGCCUGAGAGCCUAAUUCGCUAUUCCUAUGGGGUUCCAUGCACCCAUCCUGGCUGUCAGGCCCCAAUACCCAUCAUACUUGACCUGUACUGGGUAUUUUUUCACUCAGAUCCCUCACUCUACAGUGACUCUACCAGAAAUCUUGAAUUCCAGAUGAGCCACGUCAUGCCAUUGUCAGCAUAGGAGGCCCUUUGAAGCCCCAAAAUGGGUCAUUUGCACUCCCUUCUUCUGCCUGCUCCUGUUCCCAUGAGUGGUUGGCAUGGAAAGGGCCAUCAGUAGAACUUGGCUGGCAACAUUUGCAGGAGCAGGAAUCAACAGAGGACCCAGGAGAAAGGGAUGGAGCCCAGGGCAUGAAACAUAGUCCAGAUUCCUGCUGGUAUGUCCAUGUGACUUGGUUUCAAUUCCUCACCAUUGUGUCACUGUGGCCUUCUAGAGAAGUCCAAACUGCUGGAAACGGGCAGUGCUUUCUGCGCUAACCCCUUCUGGUCUGACUGCUCAGCUUAGAGGAAGGAAGAAAACACUCAGAAUUCUGAGAGCAAAACCCCCCAAAAAAUCUACUCAAAGCACCUGAAGUUCAUCCCUGGGGAGGAGAAGAAAGGAAGAGCAGAUGCCCUGUAUCUCCAUGGGGGUACUGAGGCACAGAGCUAGGGCCGCCUAGCUGCCCAGGGUAGAUCUCAGAGGGUGACUCAUCUGAAUUGCCGAUUCCCAGCACCAGAGCAAGGCGCUCCUCAAGAACUGAGUCCGGGUUCAUGUCUUCUGGGACCCCUGGCUUCCCUUUUCCCACUUGAGAACUAAAACUGGGUGCUCUGCCCACCCCGCUCACCCCGCCU
ensembl:lncRNA novel transcript, sense intronic to SORBS3